rnacentral:rRNA from 1 species
GCACCCGCACAAGCGGUGGAGCAUGCUGUUUAAUUCGAAAAUACGCGAAGAACCUUACCUAGAUUUGACAUCCCCGGCAAUGUUAUGGAAACAUAGCGGAGGUUACCCGGGAGACAGGUGGUGCAUGGUUGUCGUCAGCUCGUGUCGUGAGAUGUUUGGUUAAGUCCAACAACGAGCGCAACCCUUAUUUUUAGUUGCUAACAUUUAGUUGAGAACUCUAAAAAUACUGCCAGUGUAAGCUGGAGGAAGGUGGGGAUGAGGUCAAAUCAUCAUGCCCCUUACAUCUAGGGCUACAGGCGUGCUACAAUGGCCGAUACAACGAGUCGCAACACGGUGACGUGAAGCUAAUCUCUUAAAGUCGGUCUCAGUCCGGAUUGGAGUCUGCAAUUCGACUCCAUGAAGUUGGAAUCGCUAGUAAUCCCGAAUCAGAAUGUCGGGGUGAAUACGUUCCCGGGUGUU